UUGCUUUUAUCAUGACACAUCGUGGUUCUCAAUAUCCUUCGACUCUGACUUAUAUGAGGUCCCGAGUUGACACAUAUCUAUCGACUGGCAGGUAAGCUUUUUUGUCUUGAUUUCGACCAGUUCAAUUUGUUGUGCGGCUUCAUCUCACUUAAUUCAUCUUGUAUAGUGUAUCCAAUACAUCCCUAGUUGAAGCGUGCACACACAUAAUCCAUAUGCACGAUCAAUGCCACUUGACCAUUGCCCACGUAAACAAAGUCAUUAUUGCGAGUACCAGGUUGUGCACUGGGGCUUCUUUACUUGUUAUAUCACGUGACUCUUACAUAGAGUCUGCACUGGAAUAGGGCAAUCAAGCUUCCUUCUACUUGUGAACUCCUACUCUUUAUGAACUCUAAUCUUGUGCAAC
rnacentral:lncRNA from 1 species